rnacentral:rRNA from 1 species
UGGGGAAUAUUGCACAAUGGGCGCAAGCCUGAUGCAGCCAUGCCGCGUGUAUGAAGAAGGCCUUCGGGUUGUAAAGCACUUUCAGCGGGGAGGAAGGCGAUAAGGUUAAUAACCUUGUCGAUUGACGUUACCCGCAGAAGAAGCACCGGCUAACUCCGUGCCAGCAGCCGCGGUAAUACGGAGGGUGCAAGCGUUAAUCGGAAUUACUGGGCGUAAAGCGCACGCAGGCGGUCUGUCAAGUCGGAUGUGAAAUCCCCGGGCUCAACCUGGGAACUGCAUUCGAAACUGGCAGGCUAGAGUCUUGUAGAGGGGGGUAGAAUUCCAGGUGUAGCGGUGAAAUGCGUAGAGAUCUGGAGGAAGAACGGUGGCGAAGGCGGCCCCCUGGACAAAGACUGACGCUCAGGUGCGAAAGCGUGGGGAGCAAACAGG